rnacentral:rRNA from 1 species
CCAAUCGAACUCGGAGAUAGCUGGUUCUCCCCGAAAUAGCUUUAGGGCUAGCCUCGAGGUUGAGAGUAUAGGCGGUAGAGCACUGAUCGGGCUAGGGGCCAUACCGGUUACCGAACCUAGUCAAACUACGAAUGGCUAUACUUAUACUCGGGAGUCAGACAGUGAAUGAUAAGGUCCAUUGUCAAGAGGGAAACAGCCCAGAACACCGACUAAGGUCCCAAAUGUUACACUAAGUGGCGAAGGAUGUGGAAUUUCCAAAACAACCAGGAUGUUGGCUUAGAAGCAGCCACCAUUUAAAGAGUGCGUAAUAGCUCACUGGUCGAGAGACUCUGCGCCGAAGAUGUCCGGGGCUAAAGUGUAAAACCGAAGUCGUGUCAUAUGCAGCAAUGUAUAUGGGUAGGGGAGCGUUCUCAUCGGGCUGAAGCAGUACCGUAAGGAGUUGUGGACUGAUGAGAAGUGAGAAUGUCGGUAUGAGUAGCGAAAAGAAUGGUGAGAAUCCAUUCCACCGAAAGCCUAAGGGUUCCUGAGCAACGAUCGUCGUCUCAGGGUAAGUCGGGACCUAAUCCGAGGCAGAGAGCGUAGGAGAUGGACAACUGGUUGAUAUUCCAGUACCGGUAGUAAUUGUUUGAGCAAUGGAGUGACACAGAAGGGCAGGCAAGCAUGCGAAUGGAAGAGCAUGUGUAAGCGUGUAGGGUGGUGCAUAGGCAAAUCCGUGCACUGAAAGCCUGAGGCGUGAUGCGGAGUGAGCAGAGAUGCGAGCGAAGUUGUUGACCCCACACUGUCGAGAAAAGCUUCUAGUGAGAGAGCUACCGCCCGUACCGUAAACCGACACAGGUAUGCGGGGAGAGAAUCCUAAGGUGCGCGGGAGAACCCUCGUUAAGGAACUCGGCAAAAUGUACCCGUAACUUCGGGAUAAGGGUAGCCACUGUUGUGAAGUCCCAUGCGGAUGGAGCAUAGAGUGGUCGCAGAGAAGAGGCCCAAGCGACUGUUUACCAUAAACACAGGUGCCUGCUAAAGCGAAAGCUGACGUAUAGGUGCUGACACCUGCCCAGUGCCGGAAGGUUAAGGAAGGAUGUUCGGAUUAGUCCAAAGCAUUCGACUGAAGCCCCGGUGAACGGCGGCCGUAACUAUAACGGUCCUAAGGUAGCGAAAUUCCUUGUCGGGUAAG